rnacentral:rRNA from 1 species
UACGUAGGGGGCAAGCGUUGUCCGGAAUCAUUGGGCGUAAAGAGCGUGUAGGCGGCUCGGUAAGUCCGCUGUGAAAGUCCAGGGCUCAACCCUGGAAAGCCGGUGGAAACUGUCGAGCUUGAGUCCGGAAGAGGCGAGUGGAAUUCCUGGUGUAGCGGUGAAAUGCGCAGAUAUCAGGAGGAACACCGAUGGCGAAGGCAGCUCGCUGGGACGGUACUGACGCUGAGACGCGAAAGCGUGGGGAGCAAACAGG